CUCACCUUUUUCAUUUCCUAUUUUUACCAACACCAAACCCUAAAUCCUAAUUUCACCGCAGCCUCCCACCACUGCCUUAUUUGAAACGCCGUCCACCGUCACCUGCCAAGAAACUGCAGUGCACCACCUCGCUCAGAACGGAGACAAUGUUCCGUCGCUGCUCCGCGCCGCACUACUGCCUCUCCUCCAUGCCGCACCGCUGCCUCUCUUCCACGCCGCACCGCUGCAUCUCCAUCUCCCCUGAAGCCCGCGAAGUGUCGUCCCUACCUCCGCCCCUGCUCCCCACAGCGACACCGUGCCUCUGUUCCCAACCGCCGCGCGUUCCAGUCGUUAGUACCCACUCCCUCGUUUCAUCCCAAUUCACCUAUUACAUUUUAUCUCAUAAAUUAAACCCUAAUUCGUGCCUUCUCGAUUUCUCCUCAGUUCACUCCACUGCCGCCGCGCCGUCUUCGCUCUACUGCUGCCGCGCCGUCGUCACUCCACUACCGCCGCGCCGUCGUCACUCAACUAUUUCCGCGUCCGUCGUCUCUCCGUCACACUCGCGUCGCCAUCCCACCGUCACACUCGCGUCGCCAUCCCACCGUCACACUCGCGUCGCCUUCGCUCCCUUACACUCACAUCGCCGUUGCGGCGUCACACUCGCGUCGCCGUCGCUCUGUCCUUCAAAUUCAGUGCCAUCUUUCAAACUUCACGGAUGAACCACAACUGAGUUCAACUUCUCAUUCUUGCAUUAUGAAGAGGCUCUUCUGCUGAUUUGAAGGUCUGUGACUACCAUGGACUUUGUUAUUUUGUGCAGGCGAACCAGGAGACAGUUCAGAAGGUCUGUGACAUAGUCAAGAAGCAAUUGGCACUGCCAGAGGGUUCAAGUGUCACUGGAGAGUCCAAGUUUGCUGCCCUUGGAGCUGAUUCUCUUUACACAGAUUGAAGUUUUGCAAUUGAAUAUGGCCAAUGUGCUUUUGGAGAAUGGGAGGAUCAACGCGUGCACGUGCUUUUGGAGAAAGGGAUUGAUUUGAAUGCAGAGGAUGAAGAAGGGUAUGCUAAUAUCAUGCACAAAUACAUGAAAAAUUCAUAGAGAAGCUUUUGUGCUGAUGUGGCAGAGGUUUUGGUGAAGAAAGGUACUGAUGUUGAAGCCAGGAGUAAGUAGGGUAUCAAUGCUUUUGUGCUAAUGUGGUUUGUCCAUAAGAGUGAACUCGUUUCACUGCAGCUAUUGUUGCUUGUGUUCCAACAAAAGUUCACAUUGAGGGAGCAGGUGAAACAGAAUUCAAGAUAUCUCCAACUGAAAUUACAGAUGCUAUGAAAGCAGGAUUGGAUCAGCCUAUAAUGCCAGAGCCUGAGGAUGAAGAACAUGAAAACAAAGGAAAAGAUGAGAGCUGUGAAGCUGCUGAAAGCGGUGCAUCUUAAAGUGAAGAUGCAACUGGCGAGGUAAUGGUUGGCUUCUGGUUCUUUUUUCUUUUGCAAAAAACCUUGAAUAUACCGAGUUAUUAAGAAGGGUCACUUUAAUUUCUAAAGUUAAUAAUUUUUUAAAAAUGAGUAAUCUCAGUGCAUGUUUGGGCGCAAUUAUUUUAUUAAAAAAGAUCAAUUUACAUUUUUUUUAAAAGAUUUUUUUCCUUAAAAAAAGAUGUUUGUCAUGUAAUAAAUAAACAAAAAAGUAUUUUUAUAUUGUUGUACCCAAACAUAAUUGAUAGAUGAAAAGACCUUUUUACAUGAGAUAUCCAAACAUAAAAUUACUUUGACUUCUCUGUAAGAUCUUUUAAAAAAAGAUAACUCGAAAAAAGAUCUUUUCUUACAAGCUAACCCAAACAAGCCCUUAAUUCUCAACAAAAAAAGUAUUUCCAACUUUAAUUCCAUAAUAAUCCAAUCAAAUAAUAAAAUAAUGAAGAGUUAUAUUCUAUCUAAAAUGGGGUUGAAAUUAUUGAUAAUAUUCUAUCUAAAAUGAAGAGUUGUGAUGAAGUCAUCUUUCAGAACUUCUGAAAUUCAUACUUGUCAUCGUAUUAAUCGUCUCUAAAUCCAACUUUGUAAUCCAAUUUAUUCGUUUGGAGGUAUCAGAACUUGGUCUAAAAUUGCCAUAUUCAUAAAAAACAAAAGGUUAUCCUUGUAAAAAAAAUUUAAUAUUUUAUACGAUCGUUCAAUUAAAAUCAUGUGUUUACAUAACUUUUUAUACAUAACUAUAAUUCUUAAAUUAUUAUCAACUAAGUCACAUUGACAUUGUUGCUUUAAAUUUAACAUGAAUUAAUAAUGUUGUUAGUAAGAUGAUUAGCAUAGUGAUAGAGUCUUACUCAUGUUGAAAGCAAUCCCAGAGGUCCCAACCAGCGAGUUGAAUAAUGUUGGCCAUGUUUGUAUUGUAGAAAAGAACUCUAGCAUAAGGUCUCCAAGGUCUUCUUAAGAAAGUAGAAUCAUUUCCAAAGACAUUGCAAUUCUUGAACACAAAUCUAUUUGAAUCCGUUAAAUUUGUUCUCUCUUGUGCUGUGAUAUAUCCUAUAAAUCCUUCUCCUAAUGCCCUUCCAAUCACAUUUAUAUUACAUCUCUAUCGUUGCCAACACAAUAAUAAUAUGUUUAAUUAAUACUAUCAGCUGAUUAAUUAAAUGUAUUAUUGUUGUGUUGACAACUAGAGAGAUGUAGUAUAAAUGUGAUUGGAAGGGUUUUAGGAAAAUGGUUUGUAGGAUAUAUUACAUCACAAGGGAGAACAAAUUCAAAUGAUUAAGAUGGAUUUGUAUUUAAGAAUUGCAAUGUUUUUAGAAAUGGUUCUACUUUCUUGGGAAGACUUUGGAGACCUUAUGCUAGAGUUCUUUUCUACAAUACAAACAUGACCAACAUUAUUCAACCCGCUGGUUGGGACCCAUGAGAUUGCUCUCAACAUGAGUAAAUGUUGAUAAAAUAUUAAAUUUUUUUUACAGGGAUAACGUUAUAUUUGCUGAAUAUGGCAAUUUUGGACUAAGUUUUGAUACUUCUAAACGAGGAAAUUGGAUGUAGAGACGAUUAAUAUGAUAACAAGUAUGAGUUUCAUAGACUCUGAAGGAUGGCUUUAUCGCAACUCUUCAUUUUAGAUAGAAUAUUAUUAAUAGUUUCAACCCCAUUUUAGAUCGAAUAUAACUCUUCAUUAUUUUAUUAUUUGAUUGGAUUAUUAGGGAAUUAAAGUUGGACAUACUUUCUUGUUGAAAAUUGAGAUUACUCAUUUUUAGAAAAUUAUUAAUUUUAGAAAUUAAUUCUAUAAAUAUUUAUUCAUAUGUUCUCAGUCUUAAUAGUUAAUAUUAUUCUGGUUUCAUUUAAACUUUUUAGUUACUUUAUUUCUUAAAUGAUUAUGUAUCUGUAUAUCUAAUUAUUUUUUUAUCUUUAUAUUUUAAAUGAAUUAAAAAAAUGUGUUAUUAAUUUAUUAAUAA